rnacentral:rRNA from 1 species
AGAGUUUGAUCAUGGCUCAGGAUGAACGCUGGCGGUAUGCCUAACACAUGCAAGUCGAACGGGUAUCUUCGGAUAUUAGUGGCGGACAGGUGAGUAACGCGUGAGAAUCUGCCUUCAGGAUGGGGACAACAGUUGGAAACGACUGCUAAUACCCGAUAUGACGAAAGUUGAAAGAUUUAUCGCCUGGAGAUGAGCUCGCGUCAGAUUAGCUAGAUGGUGUGGUAAAGGCGCACCAUGGCGACGAUCUGUAGCUGGUCUGAGAGGAUGAGCAGCCACACUGGGACUGAGACACGGCCCAGACUCCUACGGGAGGCAGCAGUGGGGAAUUUUCCGCAAUGGGCGCAAGCCUGACGGAGCAAUACCGCGUGAGGGAGGAAGGCUCUUGGGUCGUAAACCUCUUUUCUCAGGGAAGAACAAAAUGACGGUACCUGAGAAUCAGAUCCGAUGGGCCC